rnacentral:rRNA from 1 species
UAGGGAAUCUUCGGCAAUGGACGAAAGUCUGACCGAGCAACGCCGCGUGAGUGAAGAAGGGUUUCGGCUCGUAAAGCUCUGUUGUUAAAGAAGAACACGUAUGAGAGUAACUGUUCAUACGUUGACGGUAUUUAACCAGAAAGUCACGGCUAACUACGUGC